rnacentral:snoRNA from 1 species
AUGGUGCCGCUGCUUGCUGCGCAAUGCCGACUCGCGUGAACGAGAAACGACGCUUUUGCUGCCGGC